ACCAAACUGACCGGUUGCACCUGCUACAGACUUUCCCUUGUUGGAUGGGAACAGCCAUGGGAUCCUUCCUGCUCUGCUUGUGUCUUCUCUGUGCCCUCCCAGGUGUCCUGUCUGCGGUCCAGCUGGUCCAAUCUGGCCCAGGGGUGGUGAAGCCUGGAGAGACCCUCACCUUGACCUGUGCCGUCUCUGGGUUCUCCAUCACUACGCAGUAUUACAGCUGGAACUGGAUUCGGCAGCCUCCCGGGAAAGGCCUGGAGUGGGUGGGGUAUGUCUAUCCCUAUGAUGGAAACACAGGCUACGCCACUGCUCUGACAAGCCGGACCACCAUCUCUGCAGACAACUCCAAGAACCAGGUCUCCCUGCAGCUGCGCUCCCUGACAGCCGCAGACACCGCCACGUAUUACUGUGCCAGGAACACAGUGACACAGAGCAGGGCCGAGGCAGCACAAAAACAGGAAGCAGGGUUUAAUCAGACCAGCAGAGUCCUCUUAUUAGAUAUUAGAAACAGAGUCUCACAUGAACUCAGCAGCUGCCGGUUCAGAACAGGGGGAUGA